rnacentral:rRNA from 1 species
GUGGGGAAUAUUGGACAAUGGGCGAAAGCCUGAUCCAGCCAUGCCGCGUGUGUGAAGAAGGUCUUAGGAUUGUAAAGCACUUUAAGUUGGGAGGAAGGGCAGUAAGUUAAUACCUUGCUGUUUUGACGUUACCGACAGAAUAAGCACCGGCUAACUUCGUGCCAGCAGCCGCGGUAAUACGAAGGGUGCAAGCGUUAAUCGGAAUUACUGGGCGUAAAGCGCGCGUAGGUGGUUUUGUAAGUUGGAGGUGAAAUCCCCGGGCUCAACCUGAGAACUGCCUACCAAACUGUAUGGCUGGAGUACGGUGGAGGGUAGUGGGAUUUCAUGUGUAGCGGUGAAAUGCGUAGAUAUAGGAAGGAACACCAGUGGCGAAGGCGACUACCUGGACUGAUACUGACACUGAGGUGCGAAAGCGUGGGCAGCAAACAGGAUUAGAAACCCGAGUAGUCC